CAAAAGAGUCACCAGCAGAGGUUAGUUGACAGCAAGUUUAGUUCUAUAGUCAGCUGAAGAGAUAGGAAAGGCAGAAUUCAGUUCUUUAGAUAAGUAUCUAGAAGUUCCCAGGGGAAGAGGAUGGGACUUUCCCAGAAGAAAAUGAAGAAUGUGUACAGCACUUAUUACUACUUCUUGGUCAAGAAAAUCCCAGGGACAAUACUGAUAUACUGUACAAUGAAGCUGUGACCUUGGGCCUUUCUAUCAUCUUUCUAAUUCCCAAUUUCUCAGAUAUGAGGACCAGAAGGUUUUGUCCUGCCCCAGCUCAGGGACCAACAUAGAAUGGCAGCUGCUCUGGGCUGCCGAGAGUCUCGGCCACUUCUUGGAAGGAAGUUGCCUGAAGGAGAAAUACUAGAGGAUUUGAACAACCUCUCCCAGUUGUCCCCAGGAGGAUUCAGGAAGACCAGAAAGGUAAUUGGGAGAGACUG
rnacentral:lncRNA from 1 species